GACGAACCGUGCGAACGUUGUUCGGAAUCACUGGGCUUAAAGGGCGCGUAGGCGGCCCCGUCCGUCUCGGGUGAAAGCUUCCGGCCCAACCGGAAAAGUGCCCGGGAGACCGCGGGGCUCGAGCGAGGCAGGGGCGGGGGGAACUUCCGGUGGAGCGGUGAAAUGCGUUGAGAUCGGAAGGAACGCCGGUGGCGAAAGCGCCCCGCUGGGCCUCUUCUGACGCUGAGGCGCGAAAGCCAGGGGAGCGAACGGG
rnacentral:rRNA from 1 species